rnacentral:rRNA from 1 species
AUUGGUGCUUGCAUCAUGAUUUACAUUUGAGUGAGUGGCGAACUGGUGAGUAACACGUGGGAAACCUGCCCAGAAGCGGGGGAUAACACCUGGAAACAGAUGCUAAUACCGCAUAACAACUUGGACCGCAUGGUCCGAGUUUGAAAGAUGGCUUCGGCUAUCACUUUUGGAUGGUCCCGCGGCGUAUUAGCUAGAUGGUGGGGUAACGGCUCACCAUGGCAAUGAUACGUAGCCGACCUGAGAGGGUAAUCGGCCACAUUGGGACUGAGACACGGCCCAAACUCCUACGGGAGGCAGCAGUAGGGAAUCUUCCACAAUGGACGAAAGUCUGAUGGAGCAACGCCGCGUGAGUGAAGAAGGGUUUCGGCUCGUAAAACUCUGUUGUUAAAGAAGAACAUAUCUGAGAGUAACUGUUCAGGUAUUGACGGUAUUUAACCAGAAAGCCACGGCUAACUACGUGCCAGCAGCCGCGGUAAUACGUAGGUGGCAAGCGUUGUCCGGAUUUAUUGGGCGUAAAGCGAGCGCAGGCGGUUUUUUAAGUCUGAUGUGAAAGCCUUCGGCUCAACCGAAGAAGUGCAUCGGAAACUGGGAAACUUGAGUGCAGAAGAGGACAGUGGAACUCCAUGUGUAGCGGUGAAAUGCGUAGAUAUAUGGAAGAACACCAGUGGCGAAGGCGGCUGUCUGGUCUGUAACUGACGCUGAGGCUCGAAAGUAUGGGUAGCAAACAGGAUUAGAUACCCUGGUAGUCCAUACCGUAAAACGAUGAAUGCUAAGUGUUGGAGGG